rnacentral:lncRNA from 1 species
CCUAACCUGAGUCAUCAACCGAUCAAAUUGAGUUGAAAUAAUUAAUAACGCUCAACUCAUAAGUCAAUAUAAGUGCAAGGCAGCCGUCGUCAAUAUAUUUAUCCAAAUUUGGAGUCGAGGUCGAAUCCACUAGGAACAAUGUGAAUGGAAAUCAAGUUACUUCAAAAUAAUAGAUACAAGUUAAAUCCAAACCAAUGUUACAAGAAGAUAAAAAUGAGGGAAAUAUGUAUCUACAAUAAU